GACAGAGGGUGCAAACGUUGUUCGGAAUUACUGGGCGUAAAGCGCACGUAGGCGGCUUUCUAAGUCGGAGGUGAAAUCCUGGAGCUCAACUCCAGAACUGCCUUCGAUACUGGAGAGCUUGAGUCCGGGAGAGGUGAGUGGAACUGCGAGUGUAGAGGUGAAAUUCGUAGAUAUUCGCAAGAACACCAGUGGCGAAGGCGGCUCACUGGCCCGGUACUGACGCUGAGGUGCGAAAGCGUGGGGAGCAAACAGG
rnacentral:rRNA from 1 species